AAGACCUUGCGCUUUUGGAGCGGCCGAUGUCUGAUUAGCUUGUUGGUAAGGUAAAAGCUUACCAAGGCUUCGAUCAGUAGCUGGUCUGAGAGGACGACCAGCCACGCUGGGACUGAGACACGGCCCAGACUCCUACGGGAGGCAGCAGUGGGGAAUUUUGGACAAUGGGGGCAACCCUGAUCCAGCCAUGCCGCGUGAGUGAAGAAGGCCUUCGGGUUGUAAAGCUCUUUCAGCCGGAACGAAACGGUUACGGUUAAUACCCGUGACUACUGACGGUACCGGAAGAAGAAGCACCGGCUAACUACGUGCCAGCAGCCGCGGUAAUACGUAGGGUGCAAGCGUUAAUCGGAAUUACUGGGCGUAAAGCGUGCGCAGGUGGUUUUGUAAGUCAGAUGUGAAAUCCCCGGGCUUAACCUGGGAACU
rnacentral:rRNA from 1 species